rnacentral:lncRNA from 1 species
GAAAACCUAACAUCCGUAUCCCGCUUUGGAGACUCGCUGCUGCACAAAGUCCGAGAAAGAAUGCACCCUCUAUAGCUCCAGUCCAUGAGAAGAAUCGACGCCGUCGGACACAAACCCUAGAACCCCAUCGUUCUCGAAUGGAGGCAACCGCCAUCGACAGACGAGACACCAAGACUCCGGAGCUUUUGUAGGGAACCACCGCACAAGGCUCACCCGACACACGGUGACUGUUAGAGAAGCGCCUCCAAUCUUCACCGAAUCUCGUCUGCUCCAUCAAGUUGAGCGGAUUCCGAGAAGCAAGGG